GCAGACAGCUGAUCUUAUUUUCGCUUCCUUCAGAAACUCUCUAGUGUUAAUUUCUCUUUCUACUUCUUAUAGGAUUGGCCAUGAGAAAUUAUAACACUCCAUUGGAAAUACAGUGAUGAGGCUACAGAGAAGUUACCUACUUUUGUAAAGUCAGGUACUCAGAUGAUGAAAGUCCUUUGUGCCACCCCUGGCUAAGACCGGACUUUAUCGUUCUCUGCUGGAAAUCUUGCCUGUCAACUGCUGUCCAAAAUGGCUAGAAGAUACUUCUUUGCUCUUCGCUUGCAGAAGACGUAGCAGUGAGACUUUCCAUGUGCAGCUCCAUCUGAACCUUUUUGCAUUCACAUGUGCUUUAUGCUAUUUUUUUCUGAAACAAUUUAUUAUCUUCAAAAUCAUCUUCCCUCUCAUUUCUUCCCUGUCAUUCACACCAGCGACAAAAUCCCUUGAAUGCAUGGCACAGAUUCCUGACAUAAUAAUUUAAUUGCUGAUGUGAAUUUUUUUCCCUCUUUUCUUUUUUCUGUAAGGAGAACAAAUAAGAGAUUCAUGUAAGCUGAAGAAACUGUAACUCCCAAUGGUAUUAUUUUAACUUUUUUAUAUAGAGGUCACUUGUAGAGCUGGUCAGGAGUUUUAUGAGGAAUAGGUUUCUUUAAUUUUCUCGUGUGAAAAGGUCAGUUUAGGCAUAUAUUUACCAGGAGUCUAGAAGGACUUUAUUUCUUCCUACAUCCCUGUUUAACACUGUCCAGGGAAGGGGAUGGGCUUGUGCUAGGUGAUAUA
rnacentral:lncRNA from 1 species